rnacentral:rRNA from 1 species
ACGGAGAGUGCAAACGUUGUUCGGAUUCACUGGGCGUAAAGGGCACGUAGGCGGCUCGGCAAAUCGGUCGUGGAAUCCCGACGCUUACCGUCGGAACGGCGGCCGAAAAUACCGGGCUCGAGGGCGUGAGGGGUCACUGGAACUCCUGGUGAAGCGGUGAAAUGCGUAGAUAUCAGGAGGAACGCCGGAGGCGAAAGCGAGUGACUGGCGCGUUCCUGACGCUGAGGUGCGAAAGCUAGGGGAGCAAACAGGA